AAAAUUCACUAAAGACAAGAAAUACAUCUAGGACAAGUUAACAGGGAACUUACCUGAGUACACUGCACAAAAUACCCAGAAAAUCUGCUACCAUAUAAGCCUCCUCAUUCAUAUAAAGUUUACAUUAACAGAAAUGAAUGAUCCUAUUGCAUGAUUUAUAUAUUGGACCAAACCCCAUAAUUUCCAACAUGGAUUCACUUGACUUAUUAGGACAUCAAUUCUUACAUUGGAUCCCACUCCACGAAAAUAACUUCAUUGCUAUGAUUCUUAGUCAAGAAUACACCACCUUAGUUUCCUUGCAUUCCACCAUCAUGAGUGAAAUACCUGCUAACAAAUGUCAGCCUUACAUUCUCUUAAGAGUCCAUCUUGAAUGCCUAGAGAAGUCAGUUCUCAGGUUUGUUCCAGUUUCCCAAACCCCAAAAAUUGAACAUAUGUAUUUGGAGCAAAAACAAAAAUUCACUAAAGACAAGAAAUACAGCUAGGACAAGUUAACAGGGAACUUACCUGAGUACACAGCACCAAAUACCCAGAAAAUCUGUUACCAUAUAAGCCUCCUCAUUCAUGUAAAGUUUACAUUAACAGAAAUGAAUGAUCCUAUUGCAUGAUUUAUAUAUUGGACCAAACCCCAUAAUUUCCAACAUGGAUUCACUUGACUUGUUAGGACAUCAAUUCUUACAUUGGAUCCCACUCCACGAAAAUAACUUCAUUGCUAUGAUUCUUAGUCAAGAAUACACCACCUUAGUUUCCUUGCAUUCCACCAUCAUGAGUGAAAUUCCUUUCAACUAUGAUAACCUGCUAACAAAUGUCAGCCUUACAUUCUCUUAAGAGUCCAUCUUGAAUGCCUAGAGAAGUCAGUUCUCAGGUUUGUUCCAGUUUCCCAAACCCCAAAAAUUGAACAUAUGUAUUUGGAGCAAAAAUAAAAAUUCACUAAAGACAAGAAAUACAUCUAGGACAAGUUAACAGGGAACUUACCUGAGUACACUGCACAAAAUACCCAGAAAAUCUGCUACCAUAUAAGCCUCCUCAUUCAUAUAAAGUUUACAUUAACAGAAAUGAAUGAUCCUAUUGCAUGAUUUAUAUAUUGGACCAAACCCCAUAAUUUCCAACAUGGAUUCACUUGACUUGUUAGGACAUCAAUUCUUACAUUGGAUUCCACUCCACGAAAAUAACUCCAUUGCUAUGAUUCUUAGUCAAGAAUACACCACCUUAGUUUCCUUGCAUUCCACCAUCAUGAGUAAAAUUCCUUUCAACUAUGAUAACCUGCUAACAAAUGUCAGCCUUACAUUCUCUUAGAGUCCAUCUUGAAUGCCUAGAUAAGUCAGUUCUCAGGUUUGUUCCAGUUUCCCAAACCCCAAAAAUUGAACAAACUAAAAUCAUUUCCAAGUUAAUGUAACCUAAGAAUGGUCAAGC
rnacentral:lncRNA from 1 species